rnacentral:rRNA from 1 species
UACAGAGGGGGCAAGCGUUGUUCGGAUUUACUGGGCGUAAAGGGCGCGUAGGCGGCCACCGCAAGUCACUUGUGAAAUCUCCGGGCUUAACCCGGAAAGGUCAACUGAUACUGCGGGGCUAGAGUGCAGAAGGGGCAACUGGAAUUCUCGGUGUAGCGGUGAAAUGCGUAGAUAUCGAGAGGAACACCUGCGGCGAAGGCGGGUUGCUGGGCUGACACUGACGCUGAUGUGCGAAAGCUAGGGGAGCGAACGGG